AAAAGACACAGAAGAAAUUAAGAAAAAGCAAAGAAUAUUUUACAUAUUUAUAGUUUUUAUUUCCCCCACCCUGUUUCUUACCUUUGGCCAGAGAGGAGGGACAUUCCUACCCAUGAUAGUUGAGUGGUGAGGAACUCUAGUCUGCACCUUCAGCAGGUGCAGGCUGUGUGUACAUUUAUUUUGUGAGCUCAGGCACUGUGUAGUAUCACUGUUGCCAUCAUAACCCAG